GACGAACGCUGGCGGCGUGCCUAAUACAUGCAAGUCGAACGCUUCUUUCCUCCCGAGUGCUCGCACUCAAUUGGAAAGAGGAGUGGCGGACGGGUGAGUAACACGUGGGUAACCUACCCAUCAGAGGGGGAUAACGCUUGGAAACAGGUGCUAAUACCGCAUAACAGUUUAUGCCGCAUGGCAUAAGAGUGAAAGGCGCUUUCGGGUGUCGCUGAUGGAUGGACCCGCGGUGCAUUAGCUAGUUGGUGAGGUAACGGCUCACCAAGGCCACGAUGCAUAGCCGACCUGAGAUGGUGAUCGGCCACACUGGGACUGAGACACGGCCCAGACUCCUACGGGAGGCAGCAGUAGGGAAUCUUCGGCAAUGGACGAAAGUCUGACCGAGCAACGCCGCGUGAGUGAAGAAGGUUUUCGGAUCGUAAAACUCUGUUGUUAGAGAAGAACAAGGACGUUAGUAACUGAACGUCCCCUGACGGUAUCUAACCAGAAAGGCACGGCUAACUACGUG
rnacentral:rRNA from 1 species